GGCAGGUUACCCAAGUGGCCAAAGGGAACGGACUGUAAAUCCGGUGCGAAAGCUACGAAGGUUCGAAUCCUUCACCUGCCA
rnacentral:tRNA from 5 species